rnacentral:rRNA from 1 species
GAUGAACGCUGGCGGCGUGCUUAACACAUGCAAGUCGAACGAGAACGGAAUAUAGCUUGCUAUAUUUGUCAGCUAAGUGGCGCACGGGUGAGUAAUGUAUAGAUAACCUGCCCUUAAGAAAGGAAUAACAGUUGGAAACGACUGCUAAUGCCCUAUAUGCCUUUAAUACAUAAGUAUGCAAGGGAAACGCUUUAGUGCUUAAGGAUGGGUCUGUAUGGUAUCAGCUUGUUGGUGAGGUAAUGGCUCACCAAGGCUAUGACGCCUAACUGGUUUGAGAGGAUGUUCAGUCACACUGGAACUGAGACACGGUCCAGACUCCUACGGGAGGCAGCAGUGGGGAAUAUUGCACAAUGGACGAAAGUCGGAUGCAGCAACGCCGCGUGGAGGAUGACACAUUUCGGUGCGUAAACUCCUUUUAUAUAGGAAGAUAAUGACGGUACUAUAUGAAUAAGCACCGGCUAACUCCGUGCCAGCCGCCGCCGUUA